rnacentral:lncRNA from 1 species
UGGCCUCCCAAAGUGUUAGGAUUAGAGGAAUGAGCCAUUGUGUCCAGCCAAAAUAAAUAUUUUAAGCAUGUAUAACUACUAAAGAGGGAUGCUGUGUAUACUGGAGGAGUAAGUUCAUUUCCAAAGCAUUUAUUGCAGCAUUUUGGGAAAUUUGGGGGUGCACAGAUAAGACUUUCAGAUGAAAGAAAUAAACAGGCUAAUUUUAUUAGGUGUAUAAUAUAUCCAAAUUACUUCAUUUAGCUAAUACAGAAAGAGGGACUACCUCCCUCCUUGCUGCAUUCCUUCCCAUACUCCCAUACUCCCUUCAUGCCUUUUGGUUCUACUUCAGCUACACAUUUCCUAUGAGACGUGUGAGUCAUAUAUGUUGAGCAAUAAUAGGCACCAAGGAUACACAAAUGACUAAUUCUUUCUUUAUUCUCAAACAGCUUGCAAUCUAAAUGUUGUCAUAUGCCUGGGAAAAUAGUCUAUGCAGGGAUGAUAAUUACAAUGGAAUUAUAGUCACAUGGCAAAGCACAUGAACUAGUAGUAAUUGCAAACACAUUCCUUCAUGGAGAUGAUGUUGAGCUGAGUCAUGAUGUAGAAAUUAGUGAAGUUGAAUGGGAAAAAAAAAGAAUAAAAAUUUUCUAAGCAUAGGGAGCUCUCUGAGCAAGAAGGAGUCAAGAGAAGGCAUUUUGCAUCGUGGAAGUUACAAAGAAAGGCAUAGUUUGAUAGGGUGACUUGAUGAGUAUGAGAGAAAAGGGAAGAUUUGAGGAUAGAAAACUGAGAAAGGGCAAGCUCUUGAAAGACCUUAUAUGCUGCACAAAUAAGUUUAGAAUAUAUCUCAUAGGCAAUGGGAAUCAAUAAAAUAAGAACGUGCUAUAAUUUGAUUUGUGUUUCUGAAAGACUCUUUUGGUUGUACCAUAAAGGAUUAGAAGAGAACAAUACUAGAAGCAAGAACAAUUGUUAGCCUGCUGAUGCAAAACCAAGAUGAGAAAUGAUGAGAGAUUAAGUCCAAACAGUAAAGAUUGGUGGUGAAGAUUGAAAGGGAGGAUAGAGUCUGUCUGCAGUUUCUGACUCAGAAUGCAUUUUUCUGGGUAUAUGCAAUUCCACUCACUGACAGAGGGGGACCAAAAAGAAGAGGAUGAACAAGUUUGUGGGGGGAAGAUAAAUAUCUUUUGCGCAGUUUAAAUUUAGGAAAUAGAGGUAGUAACCUGUAGUAGAGUGAAAGAUCGAAACAUAAAACAGAGGUAAACUUAUUAGCCUCAACCAACCCAUGCUAUAUGUUUUCCUUCUGAUCAAUCCCAAGUACUAACGGAGCGACUAAACAAAAUGAAUUUUUGCAUCAAAAUGAAACAUUUUACCCUGAGUACUUUCUAAUGAAACUAUGUAUAAUUACCUGAUACUAGUAUAGUGAUCUAAACCUUAGAGGACUAAAGUCGAAUAUUCAUACCACCACGCGCAAAGGGCAGCAUAAAGGGAUGAAGUGAAAAUAUAUCAUUUGCACCACAUUUCUGCUUGUAACAGCAACUCAUUUUUAGCGAGAAAUAAUUGAAUAAGCUCAAAGACCCUAAGAUCGGGGUGCUGAGAAGAGCCCAGGCAGCACAACAUGAGGACAGUGCUUUUCUUAUAAGAAAAGGGAAGAGAUAAAAAAGAUGGACAGAAAACAACAUAGAUGAUUUGGCAAAAUGAGAUAGAGGAGGAACUGUCUUCCAUAUGGGGAUAUACCAGUGAAGUCAGACCACAUUAACAGCAACAAAAAUCCAGAGUGGUAUACUUCCAUGUCCAUAUUAUUGGAAAAAAAUUCUUAACCAGUAAAAGCAUGGCACUGUGGAUUAAGUACCAGGCUAACAUCAAGGAAAUCAGGUGAUGAUAGCCUACUGUAUGUCCCCAGGCAGGAGCCAACACAUUUGCUGGUACAGAUGAGCUGCGUUCCUCACGGAGCACGGGCACAUCAAUUCUGGAACAGUCAGCCC